GGUCAAGCAGAAGUUGAAUGAUCGUUGGAGGGCAUUCAAGAAGGAACUCAAAAAAGAUUGGUAUACCCCAAAUGUUGGAACACGAGCGAUUCAAAUGCAAAGAUGGGAGAGUAAGCACAAAGCAAUGGGUUGCACUAGUUAACCAUUGCGAAGGUAACAAGCAAAAGAUAUGUUUAAGGCAGUCAUAAUAUUUUGAAAGCGGCGUUCUUUACUGAACAAGCAGAGUCGGGAAAAACGUAGGAUGAUACACACAACUGGCACAACUUCAUUUGCUCAAAUCAGGAAUGCAUAUAAAUAAGUAAAUGGAGGUGUAAGCCCAGAUCGUUGCACAAUGUUUGAGCUUACCCAUGUCAACAACUCUGGAAAACCUCAAGAUCCAAAAUCUAAACAAGCUAUUGCAUCAAUGAAGAGCAAGAUUGAAAAGAUGAAGUCUACCAAGAGGGCAUCUCAACUUCCGGAUGAUCUUGAUAAUUUUGAAAUCAAUGAUGUAUAUGCAACUGUGCUUGGAAAAGAGAAGCGCGGAGCGAUACGAGGAUUUGGCAUUGGAGUUAGACCAGACCAAGUUCCUGGUGUACUUGUGUAGGAAAGAGGUGUUCAUUUAGAGGUACAAGAAAUGAGGGAACAACAUGAAGCUGAGAUUGAAACAAUUCGGAAGGAGAGCCAAGAAAAGGAAGAUAAGCUCAGGGAGGAAAUGAGUAGACAAAAACUUGCUACAAUUGAAAAUUUUAAGGAUAUGGAGGUUGUAAUGAAAAAACAGGGAGCAAUUUUGGCUUUAUUACUUGCUGAAUAUGAUCAGCCAAGUGACUUGCUUGCAACUAUACGAAUGAAGACUGGUUCUCUUCAACCAUUGGUGAGCCAUAUUCAACCUUCAAUGACUUGGAUAAUGUUUACAUAUCUCAAUGUUGUGAAAAGUUGCACCAUCAAGUUGCCACAGAUUGAGGCCCUUCAGACUUCACCUUUUGAUUAGUAUAAGUAAGUGCUUGAGACCUCUGUAUUUUUGUUGUUUUGAACUUAAUCUAUGAUCUCUCUACUAUACUGGUGUAGCUAUCUGAUCAUGAGAUAAGUGCAGAGGCUUUUAGCAUUAGCUUCAAACAUAUUUAGGUUUUGUUGAUAUAUGUGAAGUCUGACUUAGCAUUGUAUAUUGUAGUGUUCAACUACAAUUUGUACUCAAUCACAGUUUUUGUAUAUCAGUUGGCAAUUAUGUUUGGUUUUAUGUAAUACAAAUGUAUAUUGUAAUGUACUGGUCUAAAUACAGAAAAUAAGAUACAACUAAAUACAAAAUCAGUUUGGACUGGUCCC